UGGGUAACCUGCCUCAAAGAGGGGAAUAGCCUCCCGAAAGGGAGAUUAAUACCGCAUAAUAUGUUUAAGUCGCAUGACUUUAACAUCAAAGGAAUUCCUUUUAGGAAUUUCACUUUGAGAUGGACCCGCGGCGCAUUAGCUAGUUGGUGAGGUAACGGCUCACCAAGGCAACGAUGCGUAGCCGGCCUGAGAGGGUGACCGGCCACACUGGGACUGAGACACGGCCCAGACUCCUACGGGAGCAG
rnacentral:rRNA from 1 species